AGCAGUCGCCGCGGGAAUACAGAGGGUGCAAGCGUUAAUCGGAAUUACUGGGCGUAAAGCGCGCGUAGGUGGUUUGUUAAGUUGGAUGUGAAAUCCCCGGGCUCAACCUGGGAACUGCGUCCAAAACUGGCAGGCUAGAGUAGGGCAGAGGGUGGUGGAAUUUCCUGUGUAGCGGUGAAAUGCGUAGAUAUAGGAAGGAACACCAGUGGCGAAGGCGACCACCUGGGCUCAUACUGACACUGAGGUGCGAAAGCGUGGGGAGCAAACAGGAUUAGAUACCCGUGUAGUCCCUGUCUCUUAUAC
rnacentral:rRNA from 1 species